rnacentral:lncRNA from 1 species
UCAUCAGGCUAUGGACCGGUACAGGGUUGAUGGCUGUACCAGUACAGGGUUGAUGGUUGUACCGGUACGGGAUGGCGUACCGGUACAUAGGCAGUUUUCCAGCAAACCCGAGGCUCGGGUUUGGCUAUUUCGCAGGAUGUGUACCGGUACGCGGGCCCGUGUACCGGUACGCAGUGACAAAAUCUGAAUGUUUGAUUCUGCAGGGGUGUUUUUGUAAUUGUGGG